AAGCCGACAAGGAAGGUGGAUGUGGACGCUGGCCUCUUCUCUAAAAGGGCCACACCUGCAGACGUCACGUGCACAUUUCAUGUGUAUCGCACGCAGGUAAACGUUUUAGUUAGAGGUGCAACAAUUAAUUGACAACUGAUUGAUUUUCAAAUUAAUAGGCAACUUUUUAGUUAAACCGCAAAGUAUUUUGGUGUUUGAAGGUGAUUCCCAACGACAGUGCUCAAACAGUUUGGGAAACACUUCGACACAGAUGUUUAUAUCAAAGGGUUGACACUCACUAAUGGCAGCGACGGUAUGAUCAGAUUUUCCCAGCAUGCUUUUCAGCGCCUCCCACACGGGCCACACGGGCCGGCCCGGCAAUCCCAACUCCACGGCGAAAGAAACCGGAGGCUGCGUGAGAAGAUGUGAGUGAUUUGGCGACCAUGUGACGUACGGCGUGGCAUCUCCUCACACCUUGCCCUCUUUGUCCGGGAGACCCAUGUAGGCGUCCCAGAUCCGGAAGCUGUAGCGGAGCUCGGGGAAGUGCGCCUCUUGGAUCGACACCCCGAGAUCCGCUUCCAGACGCUCCACCACCUAGGACGGGGAAGAAGCAUUGUCAUACGGGUUGCUGGUGAUGCCGUAAAGGUGGUUGUGCGACUCGGCCCACAUGCAGCCCUCGCUGGUGUUGGUGACAUCCAGCGGGAUGGCACCCGCCCUCUUGAGCAGGGCCACGGGCGGCGCGUCGACCGACGCCACCACUCCUCGCCUGGACACGAUGCCGGAGGUGUGAGGCAUGCCUUGAAAUGGGAGGCAGCUGUGCAUGAGAUGAGGAUGUUUUUGGGGGGAGUUUGCAUAACGUCCAGCGAGACGAUGCGUUACCCUGGAGGCCGAAGGACUCUUUGACCGAGAGAGGUACGCCGAGGAAAGGCAGCCGAUCCGCC